rnacentral:rRNA from 1 species
UACGAAGGGGGCUAGCGUUGCUCGGAAUCACUGGGCGUAAAGCGCACGUAGGCGGUUUCUUAAGUCAGGGGUGAAAUCCUGGAGCUUAACUCCAGAACUGCCUUUGAUACUGAGAAGCUUGAGUCCGGGAGAGGUGAGUGGAACUGCGAGUGUAGAGGUGAAAUUCGUAGAUAUUCGCAAGAACACCAGUGGCGAAGGCGGCUCACUGGCCCGGUACUGACGCUGAGGUGCGAAAGCGUGGGGAGCAAACAGG